ensembl:lncRNA
CGGAGAUAGUGGACUCUUAUUCUUCUGGAGAACUUUGGAGUUUUCUCUGAAAGAGUGUGGUCAAACUAAUGCGAGGAUUACUGCAGUGCACGAUCAGACAGAUUUUGGAAUGUUGGAACGAGGAGACAAGACGAAUAAAGGGAUCCCUGAGAUAAAUGGCAACUCUAUUUGAAUGACAAAGGCAGCUCCAGAGGCCUUGGAUGGACUUAAACUUUUUGGUGUCAAGGGCGGCUCAGAGUCCGUUGUGCACUUUUUAGCCGAUGACAUUCAGCACUGCCAAUCUAUUCUCAGCUCCCUGCUGCCAAGGGCAUCGGCAUCCAAAGAAGUAGAUGACUGGGUUCUGUCCACCAUCUCUUAUCCUGCAUUUGCAGUCGAGGACAUUGACAUUGUUAAUAUCACCUAGAAGAAAUCAUUUCAAAACUUCAGGGCAGAUACGGAUGCUGGCGCUUUCUUAGAGAUGGACAUAAAACUCCCCAAGGGGACCCAAAUCGAUUGUACAACGAGUCAUCAGAGCUGAAGCUCUUUGAGAACAUAAAGUGUGAAUGGCCACUGUUCUGAACAUACCUCAUCUUGGAUGGUGUUUUUAUCAACACUCCAGAACAGGUGCAGGAGUACAGAGAGGCUUUAGACAGCAUUCUCAUCAGAGGGAACAAUGGAUUAUGAUUGGUCCCUGAGCUUUACAGUGUUCCUCCAGAUAAGGUUGAUGAAGAGUAUGCUAAUCCUCACACCGUAGAUAGAGUGCCAGUAGGGGUUUUUAGCGGCUGGAGAAAUCGAUCCUCUCAAUAGACGCCUCUUCACUGUUCCCAAGCCUGAUGUUGUGGUUCAAGUGUCUCUCCUGGCAGAAAACGAUGAGAUUAAACAGCCCCCGCAGAGCCAUGGCAUUGAUGCAGAAACCCUGGAGGACGUUCACCCAAUCCAAAAUUUUGCCCUCCAGAGUCCUCAGUCACAUUUAUGCCAGACUAGGGCGCAACCAAAGGCUUUGACUGACUGGAUGACCAUACCUGUGAAUUGGUGUGCUGGGAACUUCUAAAUUCUACAUUAUUCGCAACACAAUCUUUACUUUCACACCUCAAGUACUGUUUGUCAGUGUGUGAAUUCAAACUUGCUCUUGUUAUCUAUUUGAAUAUGUACAAAAUUUCUGGUUUUGCUCCUGAUCGAAUGGCCAGUUUGUAGACCAUUAUGAGUUUUAUCUGGCCCUGGACAAUCACAUGAUUGUGGAAAUGCUCCGUAUCGACCUCUCCUACCUCUGCUCUUGCUGGAGGAUGACAGGCUGACCCACAGUAACGUUCCCAAUUUCACACAGAAUGCUCACCGAUGAUCACAAGCAAAUUGAUCCUGCUGUUUUGGCAACCUUGAAAAAACUACAGGACGGUUACUUUGGAGGAGCAAGAGGUGGAUGACCCGGCUGUGUAUCUGGACCAGCUGCUGGCAGUUCCUCAACAGAGUCUCAUUAGUGCCACUAAAGGAGGCCUCAGCCGCUUCAGGGCAGCAGCCAAAAAGACUCAGGAGAUGGUGUCUCUGGUGCACAAAGCCAGAGAGCUCAGUAUACAUAAUGUUCACAUGUACCUUCCAACUAAACUUUUCCAUUCUCUGGCACCAAACCUUAAUUUGCUGGAUAACAAAGAAAAGGUAGAUAAUACAAAAUUACAGGCUUUAGCUGUGAACAUUUAAGCAAUAAUUAGAAGAAUCAUCUGGCUGUCUCUGCUGUCCAAAUUGUAUGCUUGAUUUUUUUUUAUCAGGUUCCAGAAGUAAAAAUCCCACUCACUCCUACACAGAAACAGUUUUAACUGAUAAUAAGGCGUAAACCUUCCAAGAUAGACCUACAGUGAGCUUAAAGGAUGUUAGGUGAUCGCAUACUGUAUAUUGAAGGUUGAAUAUUUUAUAUUGAAGUUCUCUUUCAUAGGUUCACUCGACGCUGUGCAGCUAUGACACAAUGGGAACGCCUCGAUGCUCUUAAGUUGCCAUCUUUAAAGGGUUAGUUCACACAAAAAUGGAAAUUAGCCCAUAAAUUACUCACCCUCAAGUCAUCCUAGGUGUAUAUGACUUUCUUCUUUCAGACGAAUCCAGUCGGAGUUAUAUUAAAAAUUGUCUUUGAUCUUUCAAGCUGUUUAAUGCCACUCAGCGAGUGUUGCAGUGCUUCAGUCCAAAAGAAGAGAAAUAAAAAGUGGCCAUCCAUAAAAAAAAGUGUCUCACAUGGCGCUGGGCUAAAGGAUAUUUUGUACACUGUGUGUCCGAAUCUCAAUCGUCUAAACUCAACGAAUGGUUUCUAAGCCUCCCAAAUUCGAGGCCCGUGUGGAGAAAGCUGGCCUUUUUCUCCAACCUAGUGGGUUCUGUGGGGCAGGGCUAUUCCGCCAUUCCGGAUAUCGAGGAUAUGCAGGCUAUGCACCUCUCGCCAUCUUUGGCUCAUUCCUGGAAGUCCCGUCUCCUCCAUCCUACUAAACCAUGCAGGACCACUUCCACACUAAUCGGAAAGUCCUACAUGGAAGCUGGUCAGGCAGGCAUGGCCCUUCAUACUAUGGCAUCUCCAAGCCUACCAUGCAGAUGUCCUUAAGGAGAUGGAUAAGGUCCAGAGGGGGUCAAGGAGCUCUGCAGAGCCACAGACUUGGCCCUGAGAGCCACCAAGCUCACAAGAAAGUUUUUCCCCUUGACGCUCCCAUCUCUCAGUCCGGGCUGUUUGGGGAGGCAGUCAACUCUGCAGUUGAAAAAUUACAAGCAGCCAAGUCUGUCCUUAGGCAGUUUAUGCCCAGGAGGGUGCGGGAGGCCUCUAACCCCUUCUCUUCCUUGCCAAGGAAGGAGACCACCAGUAGGAGCAGCGACCUGGUUCAUCCCCAACCGCUAACAGUCUGGGGAGCCCUUGGCCGACCAUUUCCUCCACGGCGACCCUGCAAGCGGCUUGAGCUGAAGCGGUCUGACAGACCCACUGCUUCAGCUCCAUCGAGUCGCAUGUCAGCAAGAGGAGAGCUUUCCUCGUCUUAUGAGGCUGGACCAGACCAUUCAAGCAUGUCUGCCCACCUCUAACACACUCUCCUCAUUCAGUUCUGUCACAUCCGCUGCCCAGCAUGUUUCGGUGUACAGCAAUCAUUCAGCCUCACUGUCUUUCAAUGUGGGGGAUGGGAGGUAAACCAGGCUUUCUUGCCUUACCUCCUGUUCCUUUUUCAUCUGCUGCUAAUGUGAUAGGAGACAUGUGCAGUUCUCUCCCAGAGCCAGCAGACCCUGUACCAGUCACAGACCAGGCCCUCACAUCAUUCCCUGUGGGCUUCCUCAUCCCGCAUCAGGACAAUGGACAAUGUAACCCCCUCUAGACCAUCUCGGUAGAGCCCUGAAUUUCAGUUCGGGGUAGUAUGGAGAAAUUUGAAUUAUUUAUUAUUAAUCUAAUGUUUUCUGAUCAAUGUCGCAAAGUUUAAGUUGAUCCUGUCUUGCCAUCUCCUCAUUGGUUGUACCUUUAGGGAAAAAUGCAUCUUUAUAGAUUUUAUAAUUAAAGUCUUCAAUUUGAAUUAUUUCAUUUUAAUCUAGCAAUUUAAAGCUUUCUAUAGAUAUAUUUAUCAAGUCUGUGAGGCAAGUAUUCGCUGAGUUUCGGUUCAUUUUGUGAAACUCUCCAGUUCAAGACUGAGACCACAGAAAGCGCAUCCUAUUUGUUUUCUUUAUUUAUAUAAAAGCUCAACAUUUUGUUGAUAUUGUGAAUGCACACAAAUAAAAGUUUACAGUUCUGAAUGAUGUAUACCAAAAAUAACUUGAAAGCCUGCAGUCCACCAACGAAUACUUGACACAUUAUAUUCAAUCACUUCCUCCAACCAUGCCACAAACAGUAAGCCUUGCCAUGCCUGAUAAAUUUGAUAGUUCAGUGGAUAAAUGUAGAGGUUUUAUCCGACAAGUAGAAAUUUAUUUUGACCACCAGAAAGACAAGUUUGCUUCUGAUACCCAGAAAUGUGCUUUUUUUGAUGACACUCCUUGCGGGAAGAGCGAUUACCUGGGCUGCUGCUGUUUGGGAGUUGGAUUAGCUAAUUCAUACCUCUUAUGAAUAUUUUAAACAACAGCUACAUGAUGUGUUUGAAUAUCCCGCUGGGGGCAGGGAUAUUUCUACACAAUUACUUCUUAUGUCUCAAAGAAAUCUUUCGGCAGCAGACUACACAGUGGAGUUCAGAAUGCUGGCAGCACAGAGUGGAUGGAAUGAUGUCUUGCUGAAAGCAGUUUUCCAGCGGAGCCUAACUCAGGAACUUCAAGCAGAACUGGCCUGCAAGGGAACCUAUGCAACUGUCUCUCAAGGCUCUCUGAGAAGGAGAGCAUUCAACGACAACAGCACAACUUGUGUUUCUAUUGUGGAGAGUCUGGACAUCAUAGGUUGAAAUGCCCAUACAAGACGUUCUCCAAUUCCACACCCUGGUGCUGAUUAACUCUGGAGCUGCCUUAAACCUCAUUCACAAAGACAUCAUCAAAUACAACAUUCCCACUCAAUGUUGUAAACCACCUAUCAAGAUCCGAGCAGUUAAUAACUCACCCAUUGGAGACGGUAAUGCCAUUCUGUAAUGCCAGGCCAGCAGAGGGAGCCCUCGCCUGAGUAUUGACUGCCACGCUCUCUCUGCCUCUCUGUGUUGAUUAUUGUGUAUGACUUCUUGCCUGUUUGCUUCUACUUCUGAUAAUUUGAAUUUUCUUGUGUUUUGGCCGUCGAUUGGACUGCUUGACUGUGUUUUGACAACUGCCUGUUUUCUGAUGCUGAUUCUGGAUUGCCUUUCAAAUAAACUUCUGCACAUGGAUUCUUACUCAGCUUUAGCCUCAUCGUUACAAUUAUAUACAAAACUGAACUAUUUUAAUAGCUGAAACAGUAGUGUAAGCUGUUUUGUGAGAGAGGGAAAAGGACUGGCUCAGGUCGGAAUUCUGAUAAACUGUCCGACAAGGGCCAGGCCAGGGCCUGAGCGUCUCGGGCCAGGGCUGGGCUAGGACCUACAUU